rnacentral:rRNA from 1 species
GCAAGUCGAACGGCAGCACGGGAGCAAUCCUGGUGGCGAGUGGCGAACGGGUGAGUAAUAUAUCGGAACGUGCCCAGUUGUGGGGGAUAGCCCGGCGAAAGCCGGAUUAAUACCGCAUACGACCUGAGGGUGAAAGCGGGGGAUCGCAAGACCUCGCGCAGUUGGAGCGGCCGAUAUCAGAUUAGCUAGUUGGUGAGGUAAAGGCUCACCAAGGCGACGAUCUGUAGCUGGUCUGAGAGGAUGAUC